rnacentral:rRNA from 1 species
GCAAGUCGAGCGGAAACGAUGAUAGCUUGCUAUUAGGCGUCGAGCGGCGGGCGGGUGAGUAACGCGUAGGAAUCUGCUUAGUAGAGGGGGACAACAUGUGGAAACGCAUGCUAAUACCGCAUACGCCCUUAGGGGGAAAGGAGGGGAUCUUAGGACCUUCCGCUAGUAGAUGAGCCUGCGUGAGAUUAGCUAGUUGGUGGGGUAAAGGCUCACCAAGGCGACGAUCUUUAACUGGUCUGAGAGGAUGACC